UGAUCCCAUCCCGAACUCAGAAGUGAAACGAAACAGCGUCGAUGGUAGUGUGGGGUCUCCCCAUGUGAGAGUAGAACAUCGCCAGGC
rnacentral:rRNA from 1 species